rnacentral:rRNA from 1 species
UACAGAGGUCUCAAGCGUUGUUCGGAUUCAUUGGGCGUAAAGGGUGCGUAGGCGGGUCGUUAAGUCAGGGGUGAAAUCCCGGAGCUCAACUCCGGAACUGCCUUUGAUACUGGCGAUCUUGAGUUCGAGAGAGGUGAGUGGAACUGCGAGUGUAGAGGUGAAAUUCGUAGAUAUUCGCAAGAACACCAGUGGCGAAGGCGGCUCACUGGCUCGAUACUGACGCUGAGGUGCGAAAGCGUGGGGAGCAAACAGG